rnacentral:tRNA from 1 species
GAUCCCGUAGCUCAGCUGGAUAGAGCAUCAGUUUGCGGAACUGAGGGUCGGUGGUUCGAGUCCACUCGGGAUCG